UACGAAGGGGGCUAGCGUUGCUCGGAAUCACUGGGCGUAAAGCGCACGUAGGCGGACUCGUAGGUCAGUUGUGAAAUACCUGGGCUCAACCCGGGAACUGCAGCUGAAACCGCUUGUCUUGAAUACCUGAGAGGGUGGGGGAAUACCUGGUGGAGAAGUGAAAUUCGUAGAGAUCAGGUGGAACACCGGAGGCGAAGGCGCCUGCCUGGCAGUGUAUUGACGCUGAGGUGCGAAAGUGCGGGAGCAAACAGG
rnacentral:rRNA from 1 species